GACGAACGCUGGCGGCGUGCCUAAUACAUGCAAGUAGAACGCACAGUUUAUACCGUAGCUUGCUACACCAUAGACUGUGAGUUGCGAACGGGUGAGUAACGCGUAGGUAACCUGCCUGGUAGCGGGGGAUAACUAUUGGAAACGAUAGCUAAUACCGCAUAAUAUUAAUUAUUGCAUGAUAAUUGAUUGAAAGAUGCAACUGCAUCACUACCAGAUGGACCUGCGUUGUAUUAGCUAGUAGGUGAGGUAACGGCUCACCUAGGCGACGAUACAUAGCCGACCUGAGAGGGUGAUCGGCCACACUGGGACUGAGACACGGCCCAGACUCCUACGGGAGGCAGCAGUAGGGAAUCUUCGGCAAUGGACGAAAGUCUGACCGAGCAACGCCGCAUGAGUGAAGAAGGUUUUCGGAUCGUAAAGCUCUGUUGUAAGAGAAGAACGGGUGUGAGAGUGGAAAGUUCACACUGUGACGGUAUCUACCAGAAA
rnacentral:rRNA from 1 species